rnacentral:rRNA from 1 species
AUUGAACGCUGGCGGCAGGCCCAAAACACGUGCAAGUCGAGCGGUAACAGGAGAAAGCUUGCUUUCUUGCUGACGAGCGGCGGACGGGUGAGUGAUGUAUGGGGAUCUGCCCGAUGGACGGGGAUAACUACUGGAAACGGUGUGUAAUACCGCAUAAUGUCUACGGACCAAAGCCCGGGCUCUUCGGACCUUGCGCUAUCGUAUGCACCCAGAUGGCAUUAGCUAGUAGGUGGGGUAACGGCUCACCUGAUCGACGAUCACUAGCUGGUCUGACUUCAUGAUCAGCCACACUGGGACUGAGACAAGUUGCAGACUCCUACGGGAGGCAGCAAUGCGGACUACUACACACUUUAUGAGCUCACGCUUGCUGUCGCGAUGCCGCUUGUCUUUGAAUAAGCCAUUGUGGCACGUGUAAAGUACUUUCAGCGGGGAGGAAGGUGAUAAGGUUAAUACCCUUGUCAAUUGACGUCAUCCCCACCUUCCUCCGAUUAAUCACCGGCAGUCUCCGUGUCAGCUCCCGCCGUAAUACGGAGGGAGCAAGCGUUAAGGUCGGAAUUACUGGGCGUAAAGCGCACGCAGGCGGUCUUUUAAGUCAGAUGUGAAAUCCCCGAGCUCAACUUGGGAACUGCAUCUGAAACUGGUUGGCUAGAGUCUUGUAGAGGGGGGUAGAAGGUUUCCAAGUGUAGCGGUGAAAUGCGUAGAGAUUCCUGGAGGAAUACCAGAGGGGAAGGCGGUCCCCUGGACAAAGACUGACGCUCCGGUGCGAAAGCGUGGGGAGCGGACCCCCGCCAAUGGAUUAGAGUUUUACCCUGGUAGCCCACGCUGCAAGCGAGGUCAAUUUAGAGGUUGUGCUCUUGAACCGUGGCUUCAGGACCUAACCCUCUAAAUCGACUUCGUUACCGCCUGGGAUUACGGCCGCAGGGUUAAAACUCAAAUGAAUUCACGGGGGCCCGCACAAGCGGUGGAGCAUGUGGUUUAAUUCGAUGCAACGCGACAGAACCUUACCAUACUCUUGACAUCCAGCGAAUCCUUUAGAGAUAGAGGAGUGCUUUCGGGAACGCUGAGACAGGUGCUGCAUGGCUGUCGUCAGCUCGUGUUGUGAAAUGUUUGGGGUUAAGUCCCGCAACGAGCGCAACCCUUAUCCUUAUGUUGCCAGCACGUAAUGGUGGGAACUCAAAGGAGACUGCCGGUGAUAGGCCGGAGGAAGGUGGGGAUGACGUCAAGUCAUCAUGGCCCUUACGUCUAGGGCUACACACGUGCUACAAUGGCAGAUACAAAGAGAAGCGACCUCGCGAGAGCAUGCUGAAUCGCUAAAGUCUGUCGUAGUCCGGAUUGGAGUCUGCAACUCGACUCCAUGAAGUCGGAAUCGCUAGUAAUCGUAGAUCAGAAUGCUACGGUGAAUACGUUCCCGGGCCUUGUACACACCGCCCGUCACACCAUGGGAGUGGGUUGCAAAAGAAGUAGGUAGCUUAACCUUCGGGAGGGCGCUUACCACUUU